rnacentral:rRNA from 1 species
UACGUAGGGUGCAAGCGUUAAUCGGAAUUACUGGGCGUAAAGCGUGCGCAGGCGGUGAUGUAAGACAGGUGUGAAAUCCCCGGGCUUAACCUGGGAACUGCAUUUGUGACUGCAUCGCUGGAGUGCGGCAGAGGGGGAUGGAAUUCCGCGUGUAGCAGUGAAAUGCGUAGAUAUGUGGAGGAAUACCGAUGGCGAAGGCAGCCUCCUGGGCCAACACUGACGCUCAUGCACGAAAGCGUGGGGAGCAAACAGG